rnacentral:rRNA from 1 species
GAUGAACGCUGGCGGCGUGCCUAAUACAUGCAAGUCGAGCGAACAGAUAAGGAGCUUGCUCCUUUGACGUUAGCGGCGGACGGGUGAGUAACACGUGGGUAACCUACCUAUAAGACUGGGAUAACUUCGGGAAACCGGAGCUAAUACCGGAUAACAUUUGGAACCGCAUGGUUCUAAAGUGAAAGAUGGUUUUGCUAUCACUUAUAGAUGGACCCGCGCCGUAUUAGCUAGUUGGUAAGGUAACGGCUUACCAAGGCGACGAUACGUAGCCGACCUGAGAGGGUGAUCGGCCACACUGGAACUGAGACACGGUCAAGACUCCUACGGGAGGCAGCAGUAGGGAAUCUUCCGCAAUGGGCGAAAGCCUGACGGAGCAACGCCGCGUGAGUGAUGAAGGGUUUCGGCUCGUAAAACUCUGUUAUUAGGGAAGAACAAACGUGUAAGUAACUGUGCACGUCUUGACGGUACCUAAUCAGAAAGCCACGGCUAACUACGUG